rnacentral:rRNA from 1 species
GAUGAACGCUGGCGGCGUGCCUAAUACAUGCAAGUCGAGCGAUCAGACGCGUAGCUUUCUCCUCGGACGUUAGCGGCGGACGGGUGAGGAACACGUGGAUAACCUACCUCUACGACUUGCAUAACUUCCGGAAACCGGAGCUACUACCACGUGAUAUAUUGAGCCGCUUGGUUCAAUAGUGAAGGACGGUUUUGCUGUCACUUAUAGAUGGGUCCGCGCCGCAUUAGCUAGUUGGUAGGGUAACGGCUUACCAAGGCGGCGAUGCGUAGCCGACCUGAGAGGGGGAUCGGCCACCACAGAGCUGAGACACGGCCGAGACGCCUACGGGAGGCAGCAGUAGGGAAGCUUACGGAAUGGGCGAAAGAAGGACGGAGCAACGCCGCGUGGGUGAUGAAGGUCUUCGGAUCGUAAAAAUCUGUUAUUGGGGAAGAAGAAAGGUGUCAGUAACUAUGCACGUCUUGACGGUACCUGAUCAGAAAGCGACGGCUAACUACGUG